GCAGCCGCCGCGGUAAUACGUAGGUGGCAAGCGUUGUCCGGAAUUAUUGGGCGUAAAGGAUGCGUAGGUGGUCUUUUAAGUGAGAUGUGAAAUCCCUGGGCUUAACCCAGGAACUGCAUUUCAAACUGGAAGACUAGAGUGCAGGAGAGGAAAGUGGAAUUCCUAGUGUAGCGGUGAAAUGCGUAGAGAUUAGGAGGAACACCAGUGGCGAAGGCGACUUUCUGGACUGUAACUGACACUGAGGCAUGAAAGCGUGGGGAGCAAACAGGAUUAGAUACCCUGGUAGUCCACGCCGUAAACGAUGAGUACUAGGUGUAGGGGGUCGAACCUCUGUGCCGCAGUUAACACAUUAAGUACUCCGCCUGGGAAGUACGAUCGCAAGAUUAAAACUUAAAGGAAUUGGCGGGGGA
rnacentral:rRNA from 1 species